UUUUUAACCAAAUAAUAUGUUCUGAAUGCUGUACUUAACAUUGACCUUUUAGCAGUAAGGAACAUUUAACAAUGUUAAAAAAAAAAUCAUUACUGAAUUAAGAAUAUGGUAUCUUAGCACAGCCCUUGUACAAAUAACCACAAAAUUUAUGAAAAUAAAAGUUGGGUUUUCUGCCUCCAUCCAAUCAAACCACUACAGUUCAGGUGUAUGUUCUGUUCUAAACUGAGAUAGUACAAAACACAAAAUUGGUCCCUGGUGACUUGGCAUUGGCAAUCAGCAUUUUACAAUGAUAAACUUCUUGCUAAAUAACAGAAGUCAGCACACAAGCCAGUCUUCUUGCCACCACUUCACCCAUAGAGCAGUGUUAACAGUGGAACUUGAUGAACAAAUAGACUUUCCUGAGUCUCCUGUGUAAUCUCUCGGGAAAAAAUUCAGAAAACUCAGAAAUAAACUUAUAGCAUUUUAUUUCUACUUAUUUUUAUACCACUGGAUAAGCUUUCUAACAUCAGUCAAUCCUCUGUAAUUAGUUAUCCAUUUUAAAACUGAAGCACUGGAUUGUGUGGCUGGUCCUUCUCAUAACCUGAACUAUACUGGGUAAUUUUUCCUGAUGGGGUGGGGAG
rnacentral:lncRNA from 1 species